GACGAACGCUGGCGGCGUGCCUAAUACAUGCAAGUAGAACGCUGAAGGAGGAGCUUGCUUCUCUGGAUGAGUUGCGAACGGGUGAGUAACGCGUAGGUAACCUGCCUGGUAGCGGGGGAUAACUAUUGGAAACGAUAGCUAAUACCGCAUAAUAGCAGUUGUUGCAUGACAACUGUUUGAAAGGUGCAAUUGCACCACUACCAGAUGGACCUGCGUUGUAUUAGCUAGUUGGUGGGGUAACGGCUCACCAAGGCGACGAUACAUAGCUGACCUGAGAGGGUGAUCGGCCACACUGGGACUGAGACACGGCCCAGACGCCUACGGGAGGCAGCAGUAGGGAAUCUUCGGCAAUGGACGGAAGUCUGACCGAGCAACGCCGCGUGAGUGAAGAAGGUUUUCGGAUCGUAAAGCUCUGUUGUAAGAGAAGAACGAGUGUGAGAGUGGAAAGUUCACACUGUGACGGUAUCUUACCAGAAAGGGACGGCUAACUACGUG
rnacentral:rRNA from 1 species